UUUAUUUAUCAAUAAAAAUUACGGCGCAAUAUAAGCAAAUUAACUGUAUCAAAUUUUACGAUUUGAGUUUUCAAGGGUAAGUUUGAUAUUAUCAUCAUUACUGUGUCUAAGUUUCGACAUAUGAAACAUUAAAAUACUAUUGGUGGAAAAGAUUACUUUCAUUCAAAUAAUAACAUUAUACUAGACGAUUUUUUAAGCACUUUCAACCGUGUUGUGAACAGCUUAUACACAUGGCAAUGUGUUAUAUUAUUAGGCCAUAUACAAUUUAAGAAUAUGGGAAAUAAU